GCAUGAGGGAUAGCUCAGCUGGUAGAGCAUGAGGCUCUUAAUCUCAGGGUCGUGGGUUCGAACCUCAUGUUGGGCG